GGAGGCAUUAUGGGUGAACUCUGUUUCACCUGAGUAACAAAUUGUUCCAUUAAGUGCUGACAAUGUACUUUUACCUAACUAAAAAGCACCUGAACCCUUAUCUGUAUAGUCUGAUCCUUAUCUGGAUUUGGUUUCUGCUCAUGGUCUGCCACUGACUUGUUA